rnacentral:rRNA from 1 species
GGGUUGUAAACUGCUUUUAUACACCAAGAAAAACCCCGACGUGUCGGGACUCGACGGUAGUGUAUGAAUAAGCAUCGGCUAACUCCGUGCCAGCAGCCGCGGUAAUACGGAGGAUGCAAGCGUUAUCCGGAUUCAUUGGGUUUAAAGGGUGCGUAGGCGGCUUUUUAAGUCAGUGGUGAAAUCCUGCCUCUUAACGGUAGAAUUGCCAUUGAUACUGAAGAGCUUGAGUACAGUUGAGGUAAGCGGAAUGUGUAGUGUAGCGGUGAAAUGCUUAGAUAUUACACAGAACACCAAUUGCGAAGGCAGCUUACUAAACUGUCACUGACGCUGAUGCACGAAAGCGUGGGGAGCGAACAGGAUUAGAUACCCUGGUAGUCCACGCCGUAAACGAUGU